rnacentral:rRNA from 1 species
AUUGAACGCUGGCGGCAGGCCUAACACAUGCAAGUCGAACGGUAACAGGAAACAGCUUGCUGUUUCGCUGACGAGUGGCGGACGGGUGAGUAAUGUCUGGGAAACUGCCUGAUGGAGGGGGAUAACUACUGGAAACGGUAGCUAAUACCGCAUAACGUCGCAAGACCAAAGAGGGGGACCUUCGGGCCUCUUGCCAUCGGAUGUGCCCAGAUGGGAUUAGCUAGUAGGUGGGGUAACGGCUCACCUAGGCGACGAUCCCUAGCUGGUCUGAGAGGAUGACCAGCCACACUGGAACUGAGACACGGUCCAGACUCCUACGGGAGGCAGCAGUGGGGAAUAUUGCACAAUGGGCGCAAGCCUGAUGCAGCCAUGCCGCGUGUAUGAAGAAGGCCUUCGGGUUGUAAAGUACUUUCAGCGGGGAUGAAGGGAGUAAAGUUAAUACCUUUGCUCAUUGACGUUACCCGCAGAAGAAGCACCGGCGAACUCCGU